rnacentral:rRNA from 1 species
AGAGUUUGAUCAUGGCUCAGGAUGAACGCUGGCGGCGUGCCUAAUACAUGCAAGUCGAGCGGUAAGGUUCCCACUCUGUUCUCAACGCGGUAAAACGCGGUUGAGGCCAGGGUGGGAAUACACGAGCGGCGGACGGCUGAGUAACACGUAGGAACCUACCCCAAACUGAGGGAUAAGCACCAGAAAUGGUGUCUAAUACCGCAUGUGCUCUUCGGAGUAAAGCUACGGCGGUUUGGGAAGGGCCUGCGCAUGAUUAGCUUGUUGGUGAGGUAAAAGCUCACCAAGGCGACGAUCAUUAGCUGGUCUGAGAGGAUGAUCAGCCAGACUGGGACUGAGAACGGCCCAGACUCCUACGGGAGGCAGCAGUAGGGAAUUUUCCACAAUGGACGGAAGUCUGAUGGAGCAACGCCGCGUGCAGGAUGAAUGCCUUCGGGUUGUAAACUGCUUUUAUCUGUGACGAUUAUGACGGUAGCAGAUGAAUAAGGAUCGGCUAACUCCGUGCCAGCAGCCGCGGUCAUACGGAGGAUCCAAGCGUUAUCCGGAAUUACUGGGCGUAAAGAGUUGCGUAGGUGGCAUGGUAAGUUGCUAGUGAAAGCCUGGGGCUCAACCCCUUACACAUUAGCAAAACUGCCAAGCUUGAGGACGAGAGAGGUUAUUGGAAUUCCUAGUAGGAGUGAAAUCCGUAGAUAUUAGGAGGAACACCGAUGGCGUAGGCAGAUAACUGGCUCGUUCCUGACACUAAGGCACGAAAGCAUGGGUAGCAAACGGGAUUAGAUACCCUAGUAGUCC